UACGGAGGGGGCUAGCGUUGUUCGGAAUUACUGGGCGUAAAGCGCACGUAGGCGGCUUUGCAAGUCAGAGGUGAAAGCCCGGGGCUCAACCCCGGAAUUGCCUUUGAGACUGCAUCGCUAGAACGUCGGAGAGGUGAGUGGAAUUCCGAGUGUAGAGGUGAAAUUCGUAGAUAUUCGGAAGAACACCCGUGGCGAAGGCGGCUCUCUGGGACGGUACUGACGCUGAGACGCGAAAGCGUGGGGAGCGAACAGG
rnacentral:rRNA from 1 species